GAUGAACGCUGGCGGCGUGCCUAACACAUGCAAGUCGAACGAAGCAUUUGCGACAGAUUUUUUCGGAAUGAAGUUGCUUAUGACUGAGUGGCGGACGGGUGAGUAACGCGUGGGUAACCUGCCUUGUACUGGGGGAUAGCAGCUGGAAACGGCUGGUAAUACCGCAUAAGCGCACAAUGUUGCAUGACAUGGUGUGAAAAACUCCGGUGGUAUAAGAUGGACCCGCGUCUGAUUAGCUAGUUGGUGAGAUAACAGCCCACCAAGGCGACGAUCAGUAGCCGACCUGAGAGGGUGACCGGCCACAUUGGGACUGAGACACGGCCCAGACUCCUACGGGAGGCAGCAGUGGGGAAUAUUGCACAAUGGAGGAAACUCUGAUGCAGCGACGCCGCGUGAGUGAAGAAGUAAUUCGUUAUGUAAAGCUCUAUCAGCAGGGAAGAUAGUGACGGUACCUGACUAAGAAGCUCCGGCUAAAUACGUG
rnacentral:rRNA from 1 species